AUUGAACGCUGGCGGCAUGCCUUACACAUGCAAGUCGAACGGCAGCACGGGAGCAAUCCUGGUGGCGAGUGGCGAACGGGUGAGUAAUAUAUCGGAACGUGCCCAGUAGUGGGGGAUAACUGCUCGAAAGAGCAGCUAAUACCGCAUACGACCUGAGGGUGAAAGGGGGGAUCGCAAGACCUCUCGCUAUUGGAGCGGCAGAUAUCAGAUUAGCUAGUUGGUGGGGUAAAGGCCUACCAAGGCAACGAUCUGUAGUUGGUCUGAGAGGACGACCAACCACACUGGGACUGAGACACGGCCCAGACUCCUACGGGAGGCAGCAGUGGAGAAUUUUGGACAAUGGGCGCAAGCCUGAUCCAGCAAUGCCGCGUGCAGGAAGAAGGCCUUCGGGUUGUAAACUGCUUUUGUCAGGGAAGAAAUCCUCUAGGUUAAUACCCUUGGGGGAUGACGGUACCUGAAGAAUAAGCACCGGCUAACUACGUGCCAGCCGCCGCGGUAACAC
rnacentral:rRNA from 1 species